AGAGCGAACGCUGGCGGCAGGCCUAACACAUGCAAGUCGAGCGCGUGUAGCAAUACACGAGCGGCAGACGGGAGAGUAACACGUGGGAACGCGCCCUUCGGUUCGGAAUAACUCAGGGAAACUUGAGCUAAUACCGGAUACGCCCUUACGGGGAAAGAUUUAUUGCCGAAGGAACGGCCCGCGUCCGAUUAGCUAGUUGGUGAGGUAACGGCUCACCAAGGCGACGAUCGGUAGCUGGUCUGAGAGGAUGACCAGCCUCACUGGGACUGAGACACGGCCCAGACUCCUACGGGAGGCAGCAGUGGGGAAUAUUGGACAAUGGGCGCAAGCCUGAUCCAGCCAUGCCGCGUGGAUGAUGAAGGCCUUAGGGUUGUAAAGUCCUUUUAACGGGGAAGAUAAUGACGGUACCGUAGAACUAAGCCCGGCUAACUUCGUGCCAGCAGCCGC
rnacentral:rRNA from 1 species